UGAGGAAUAUUGGACAAUGGGCGCAAGCCUGAUCCAGCCAUGCCGCGUGCAGGAAGAAGCAUCUAUGGUGUGUAAACUGCUUUUGUACGGGAAGAAAUGUACUUUUUCUUGAGUACUUGACGGUACCAGAGGAAUAAGCACCGGCUAACUCCGUGCCAGCAGCCGCGGUAAUACGGAGGGUGCAAGCGUUAUCCGGAUUCACUGGGUUUAAAGGGUCCGUAGGCGGUUUAAUAAGUCAGUGGUGAAAGCCCAUCGCUCAACGAUGGAACGGCCAUUGAUACUGUUAGACUUGAAUUACAAGGAAGUAACUAGAAUAUGUAGUGUAGCGGUGAAAUGCUUAGAUAUUACAUGGAAUACCAAUUGCGAAGGCAGGUUACUACUAAUGGAUUGACGCUGAUGGACGAAAGCGUGGGGAGCGAACA
rnacentral:rRNA from 1 species